rnacentral:misc_RNA from 1 species
UCCCCGUUAACCGGGGCAGUCCCCCUAGAGUUCCCGGCCUGACCCGUUGGCAACUAGCGACAGGGGUUGCGCUCGUUGCGGGACUUAACCCAACACCUCACGGCACGAGCUGACGACAGCCGUGCAUCACCUCGCAUGGUGCCCCGAAGGGAGACCGGCUUUCACCGGCUGUCACCACACGUUCAAGCCCAGGUAAGGUUCUUCGCGUUGCAUCGAAUUAAACCACACGCUCCGCUGCUUGUGCGGGCCGGUGACAGGUGGUGCAUGGCUGUCGU